GAAGUUGGAGUCGCUAGUAAUCGCAGAUCAGCAACGCUGCGGUGAAUACGUUCCCGGGCCUUGUACACACCGCCCGUCACGUCAUGAAAGUCGGUAACACCCGAAGCCGGUGGCCUAGCCCCUUGUGGGAGGGAGCCGUCGAAGGUGGGAUCGGCGAUUGGGACGAAGUCGUAACAAGGUAGCCGUACCGGAAGGUGCGGCUGGAUCACCUCCUUU
rnacentral:rRNA from 1 species